CGUAUCUAUCAGAUCGUUGGUGCGCUCUCCCCAACCUGGACGGGCCCUUUCCAUCGCAUCUGGCAUGUGGCUCGCGCAGACGAAAAACCUAAAGGUAAAAACAAAUUAUUACGCAGAUGAGAGAAAGAAGGUUAAAAUGGUAGGCCAACGCUGUACAGCCGCCGGUGUAAAGCCUUCUCAGCUCCUGGCUAGAACCGUGUGAAUGGGAGUGGAACGGCAUCUGAGAGCAACCCCAUCGAUGUCCAAGGCGAUGCCAGAAGGAGGACUGACAGAGUAGGCGAUGUCGGUUCAGUUGUGACCUCAGAAACAGGGCGGGAAACUCGAAACCCUCAUGGAGAUGAUAGCUCCACAGGCGAUGUCGCCUGCAUGGGAUGCCCUGAUGGAGACGAUGUGCCCGCAGGAUCUCAGAGGGAGACGAUGAUGCCCUUAGCGCGAACAGAGGAACAUCAUUCCUUGCCACGGUGGAAGUGGACCGACGCACCACCUUGUAGCAAAAUAAGAUUUUGAGGAGGACAGUGCGCGUGUGAGGCGAUACGUAUGCUUGGUGAAGUCGGUCGGUAAUUCUAGAGCUCUACUGGCGAUUCGCUCAUGUUUGGGUUCUUCUUACCCGUCGUCAAUCUUGUCCAUCCAGGUCGGACAGAUGUGCUGUCGCUUUGACCACGUGCGCCUCACUGUGGGGCACAUGGCGAAGCCGGCCCUCCCUGCCCCAAUAUCCGCCGGCACUACGGCGCGGGAGGGCCUCAUGAUGUCCCUCUUCCGCUGCAUGCCAUAAAUGAAAGCGGGCCACGCCGAGCAGCCCAUCGGCAUGAUCGUUCUUCUCCCAGAGAACUCCAAAAAUCUUAAGAGAUUCGACUGGUGUGGAGUGGACCACCAUCCAAGACCAGCCGGCGAGACUGAGAAGCUUAAGACCGAAGGAAAUCCGUCAAAUCUCCAUACAUACUGAC
rnacentral:lncRNA from 1 species